rnacentral:rRNA from 1 species
GAUGAACGCUGGCGGCGUGCUUAACUCAUGCAAGUCGAACGAUGAAGCCCAGCUUGCUGGGUGGAUUAGUGGCGAACGGGUGAGUAACACGUGAGUAACCUGCCCUUAACUCUGGGAUAAGCCUGGGAAACUGGGUCUAAUACCGGAUAGGAGCGUCCACCGCAUGGUGGGUGUUGGAAAGAUUUAUCGGUUUUGGAUGGACUCGCGGCCUAUCAGCUUGUUGGUGAGGUAAUGGCUCACCAAGGCGACGACGGGUAGCCGGCCUGAGAGGGUGACCGGCCACACUGGGACUGAGACACGGCCCAGACUCCUACGGGAGGCAGCAGUGGGGAAUAUUGCACAAUGGGCGCAAGCCUGAUGCAGCGACGCCGCGUGAGGGAUGACGGCCUUCGGGUUGUAAACCUCUUUCAGUAGGGAAGAAGCGAAAGUGACGGUACCUGCAGAAGAAGCACCGGCUAACUACGUG